AAAAACAUGUCUGUAUGAGAGAUUUAUAAAGUCUGACCUGCCCAUUGGAAAACUAAAAGGCCGCGGUAUUAUGACCGUGCAAAGGUAGCAUAAUCAUUAGUUUUUUAAUUGAAGGCUAGAAUGAAUGGUUGGACAAGAAAUAAUCUGUCUUAAACUAAGAUAUUGAAUUUAACUUUUGAGUGAAAAGGCUUAAAUGAUCUAAAGGGACGAUAAGACCCUAUAAAACUUUAUAUUUUAAAGUAGAAAAUAAUUUUAUUUAAAUGUUAUUAUUUUAAAAUAUUUUGUUGGGGCGACAAGGAUAUAAUAAUGGGUAACUGUCUUUUAUUUUUACAAUAAUAUUUGAUUUGUUGAUCCUAAAAGGGAUUAAAGAUUAAGUUACUUUAGGGAUAACAGCGUAAUUUUUUUUGAGAGUUCUUAUCGACAAAAAAGUUUGCGACCUCGAUGUUGAAUUAAAAAUUCUUUAUAGAGUAGAGACUAUAAAAGAAGGUCUGUUCGACCUUUAAAAUUUUACAUGAU
rnacentral:rRNA from 1 species